rnacentral:ncRNA from 1 species
UGGGGAACACUUAGAGCCCCCACGGACGUAGUGUUAAUAGUCGCUGUCUUUGGCCGGGCACGACGGUUAGUGAAUC